rnacentral:rRNA from 1 species
CUUUAGUGGCGAACGGGUGCGUAAUACGUGAGAAUCUGCCUUUAGGAGGAGUAUAACUGUUGGAAACGACUGCUAACACUCCAUAUGUCGAGAGAUGAAAUAAUUUAUUGCCUAAAGAUGAGCUCGCGCCUGAUUAGCUAGUUGGUGAGGUAAUGGCUCACCAAGGCCACGAUCAGUAGCUGGUUUGAGAGAACGAUCAGCCACACUGGGACUGAGACACGGCCCAGACUCCUCCGGGAGGCAGCAGUGAGGAAUUUUCCGCAAUGGGCGAAAGCCUGACGGAGCAAUACCGCGUGAGGGAUGAAGGAUUUUGGUCUGUAAACCUCUUUUCUCAAGAAAGAAGUUCUGACGGUACUUGAGGAAUAAGCAUCGGCUAACUCCGUGCCAGCAGCCGCGGUAAUACGGGGGAUGCAAGCGUUAUCCGGAAUCAUUGGGCGUAAAGCGCCUGUAGGUGGUUUAAUAAGUCUGUUGUUAAAGACUAGGGCUCAACCCUAGGAAAGCAAUGGAAACUACUAGACUUGA